rnacentral:rRNA from 1 species
UCGGGAAUUUUGUGCAAUGGGCGAAAGCCUGACACAGCAACGCCGCGUGAAGGAUGAAGUCCCUCGGGAUGUAAACUUCGUAAGAAUAGGAAGAAUAAAUGACGGUACUAUUUGUAAGGUCCGGCUAACUACGUGCCAGCAGCCGCGGUAAUACGUAGGGUGCGAGCGUUAAUCGGAAUUACUGGGCGUAAAGCGUGCGCAGGCGGUUCGCCAAGUCAGGUGUGAAAUCCCCGGGCUUAACCUGGGAAUUGCGCUUGAAACUAGCGGGCUUGAGUGUGGCAGAGGGGGGUGGAAUUCCACGUGUAGCAGUGAAAUGCGUAGAUAUGCGGAGGAACACCGAUGGCGAAGGCAAUCCCCUGGGCCUGUACUGACGCUCAUGCACGAAAGCGUGGGGAGCAAACAGGAUUAGAUACCCGAGUAGUCCCUGAGCGGGCUGGCAAGGCGCAU